UACGUAGGGUGCAAGCGUUAAUCGGAAUUACUGGGCGUAAAGCGUGCGCAGGCGGUUUUGUAAGUCUGUCGUGAAAAUCCCCCGGGCUUAACCUGGGAAUGGCGAUGGAGACUGCAAGGCUAGAGUUUGGCAGAGGGGGGUAGAAUUCCACGUGUAGCAGUGAAAUGCGUAGAGAUGUGGAGGAACACCGAUGGCGAAGGCAGCCCCCUGGGUCAAAACUGACGCUCAUGCACGAAAGCGUGGGGAGCAAACAGG
rnacentral:rRNA from 1 species